UUCGUCGUACAAACUUUACGCUUCGAUGUUGCCGAAAUUGAUAGUUAAAGGCAAACAGCCUGAUUGACGAAAUUGAUAGUUAAAGGCAAACAACCUGUUAAUUAAUAAACGCAUGCCAGUCAAGACCUUGAUGCUUGAGAAAUCUUACAAAAUUCUUGUACCACCGAAAUCCUUCGGGACCUUCGUUGCUUGCUAUUUACAUACAUCUCACCUUGAACGCGCUAACGAGUCUGGGCAAGACCUCGUCCAAUUAAUCCUCUCGAUGCGUUAACGUAUUCGACCAUUUCGACGACUUUUAUCUUGGACAUCUCUUGGAAAAUUACGAAGGUGCAUCAGAUAUAAACGAGAGUUCUCGCUAUUGCGUGUUAGCACGCGUCAAGUUCACGUUAAAAUUCUUUCACCGAGGGAAAGAUUCGAAUCUGGAAUCACAAGAAGUGUUAUUAUCAGCACAUGAUAGUAUUCUUUCGCAUCCGUCUCAAAAAACGUAAGGACCAGAACGGAACGUCAACAAUUACAAAUGAGAAAAAGGAAAAAAGAACACAAAUCUUACACGGCGCCAUAAAUAAAGUAAGAAUCAUUCGUAAUACAAUUUGUAAUACACUGGCGAUAACGAGCAAUCGUUACAUUAUUGUAAAAUAUCACAAUAUGUUAAUAUCUGUCGGCUAGGGUCGAGGACGCGCGGGAGAGCCGUAAAAGAACACUUGCCUACUCUUCAGGCUGAAGACACGCAACUGAGUACGUAAACUUACAACGUUUAAUGUUUAGGGUUCCAAAAUUCAAAUUCGACGUAUCUUCGGAAGAAUUUCGAAUUUUCGAACCAACUAAAAGGAAGCUAAAAUUUGAGCCGUGUAACGUGAUACUCGUACAAAUACCGUCGUACGUUGAAACAGCCGCACGACAUCUAAACGUAGCGCGGUAAUUACAAUUUUCUUUCUCGACUUUUGUAAGAAAAGAGAAAAAUUUGAACGGUGUCCGUUUGCUUUUCGCGGACGUGUCCUCAGUCUUAACGAAAGGAAUAUUUGAAAUCGUUAUAACCAUGAAAAAAAAGGAAUAGAUCACGCGCGGGCCCGAGUGUCUCACCUUGAACACGGCUAUUCCAAAAUCUGUCAGACGUUUUUUUAAAUGUUUUAGUAACCCAUAACGGACACGUGAAAUUACAAAAUCCGAGCCGACUUAAUGAAGAAUAUAUCUCGGACAUAAGUUUGUUUCGACUUUGAAGGACCUACGACGACGCACACGAUCUCACGGUAUGGGACAUAAAAAUUGACGACAAGCAAAAUCUUUCUAUCUCGAGGCUGUUCUCUCUCUCUCUUUCUCAAUCUUUCUCUCUCUCUCUCUCUCUCACGACGUUCUCGACUCAAGACGCGUUGACAUACACCUUGGCCAACGAAAAGCGAUAUUUUCUGACCUGUAACCAGCGGAUCGGUACACGAGAAAACGAAACGAACGCACUAGGUUUGGACUUCUGAGCGAGGUGAACGUCACCGGUUCAUUGCUCGAAUACAUUAACCCUUUGCCUUACACGAUUUGUUAAGCUACUCGUGUGUCUUCUAGAUUAUGCAACUAAUUCAAUCGUGUUCGUAGAGUAAUCGCGUUUCGAGGCUUUCUUAUCACCAACACGAUUUAUGAGGACAUUUUUUAUGUCCACUUUCCAACAAAUUUUAUGUACCUUCUAUUUGGACUACAAACUUUUAUGCAUUUAAGAUAAAUCGACACAUUGUUUUAAACUUUCUGAAAAAAUUAAACGAUUACAAUAUUAUGAAUUAAUAAAAAAAAAAAAUGAAAAUGAUUUACAAUAUUCCACCUCGCUUCACUAAUAGUAUAAGGCAAAGGGUUGAAGGAAGAAUAGAGAAAACGAGGGAUGAUCGCUGUCGAAUAGCAUGCAUCGUUUCCAAUUAACUUUCUAAUCGAUUAUUUCUUUCUAAUACAGGUACGACGAUAAAAUUACAAUUAGAAUUAUUUUGACGAAUGCCGGUCUAUCGAGCAAGUCAACUCCCAUCUUCUAGGAUUAAAACCUGUCCUAUAUGUGGUAACAUUGAGAAAAUAUCGAACAAGAUGCAGGCUGAUCGACAGCUCCUCUACUUCUACGAAGAAAAAAGAAAUGAACAAAUUCGUGUGCGAGCUGCUCGAUGCAAUAAUCGUAUGAAAGUCGGACAAGCGUAGAAAAAUACUGUACACGUAACACGAAAAGUAGAUAGAAAAAGAAGAAACGGGCGGUGAAGGAGGACGAACGGGGAGUAACGAAGGAGUUUCAGCCUCUCGGUUGCAAAUUCCAUCCGACGAUGUUUAAACGGCGACGUUUUGCCAGCAUUGCGUAACAUGUUUCUUACGACGACUGAUACUGUUUGAGAUUAUUUAACGAUACACUUAGGUGCAACGUAGGCUUUCUUCGGUUAAGGAUAAGCGUAGAGACUUCCACCAAUUUUGAAGAUCAACGAUAUAAGAAUUUUCAAAGUCCUAACUUCAAAAAGGUCGCCAUUUAUUUCCCCGAAAAAAAAGAACCGUACGAUCGGAUUGCCUCAUAGAAAUCGUUUCAGUGCCAUCAUGUAUCGAUCAUAAAUUUCUAGGUCAAUGACGGAUUCCUUUUCCUUCGAGCUUAAAAUUCAUAAACGAGUUGCUUAACCCAAGACAGUUGAAAUCCCCUUAAAAACUGAUCACAGGAAAAAACCAAACGCGAAUCAGUCAUCGAAUCGUUCGAAUUCCUAGAACGAUUUUCGAUCGAUCUGGUGGGCUCGUGGCAAAUAAAACUACUCGUAUCUGUCUUCGAGCGAAAGCAUUUUUUGUACACGCGAUUACUAGUUUCACACUGUUCUUAUCUUUCUGUCAUUUUCUUUUCAUCGCUUUUUCUGCGUGUUUGUUUUCGUUAAUCUACACGGAAUCAAGGACCGGUCGCAAGGAUUCAAGGAUUAAGAGUGAGGCCACGAGCAACGACAAAAAUAGUUCUAACAAAUGCUUUUCUAUAGCUGCGUUCACGCUGAUUACUCUCCGCUAACACGUUAAUCCUACUUACUGCUAACGCCUUCGCGAUCGAGAAAAAUAAUCGUAUAAACAACACUUUGAUGUACAGUUACGAGCAAUAGUAACUUUCCUUGGUACGGGGAAAUGUAGAUGUUCAUAGUAAUUCUUCUGCUUUGUAUCGUAACGGGGAAUUAUAAACUUUUAGAACGUUUGCUUGUAACUUCGGUUGGAAUACAUUAGCACUGGUACAUUGAUGUAAUGCGAGAAAGGAAACGAUGAACCUAAUAUUCUACCAACCACUUUUCCAAUCGUAAACACAUCGAGUUUAAAAUAUUUCAAGAACAAAAGUAUUUCAAGUAUAAAUCUGGUUUCUUUAAGGAAAAUAUUCCAACUAAAUGGGCAGUCAUCCCACUUAUUAAUUCUAAGGUAUUUCUGGAGAUUACUAAUUUGGGUAAUAAUUUAUGGAUCUCAAGAUACAGGGAAACAGGAAUUUGUGGAUGUAGAUAUUUGAAUUUGAAUCCUUGAAUUCCAAUAUCAAAGGAUAUUAGAAUUUAAGGAUUAGAUAGUUUUCGGUAGCAUGAUAGUGUAAUCGUUAUCUUUCUCUAAUGUACUAGCGUUAAUUAAUGUAUCGCCGUAACCUACACUUUAGCUGCGUGAUGUAACUUUUAUCACUAGCAUAUUUCCACCAUUUCAAUACAGCAGUGUUCGUAUACUCGAAUAUCGUAGGUGUGUAAGAGUUAAUUUUAACCACACAGUUCGAAGGUCUUCUUUCCUCAUACUUCUCCUUACCAAGAUCAGACAUCUUUGCACGUAACUACACACCUGCUAAUUUCUGACCAAUGUACACACCUCGUGACCUAACGCAUUAUCCUUUGUUCGUUUAUUGAUUCGUCAUUGCGUCGCUGGAAGUAAUCACCGUUUUCUCGAAAUUAUCACUCACACCUAUGCUAUAUAUACACAUAUUUAUACACACAUACUUACACACACAUUUGGAGAACGGUAUCGUUUUCUCGCGUUCCCGGUCGCGGUACACUAAUAGCUUUUUUUACAGGUGAUUCCAGUAAUUUUCAUCUUUUCUUAAGGAGAAGAGGGAGAAUGUAUGCGUGUAACACCAGCCGUUUUAUCUCUAAGUAACAAUUACUACCGCUAUAUGUACAACGAAUCGCUAAUGCGGUCGCCCGAUUGCACCAGAAACUGAAAAAUUUCAGGCGAACUUUAUUCUCGUCUCGUCUCUCUCUCUCUCUCACUUUCUCUCUUUAUGUAUAGAUGCAACAGGAUAUAGAGAAAGAAUGCAAACGGGUACGAGAUGUAGAAUAAUUAGAAUAAUAUCACGGAAAAACGUCCAGCCUCGAGGAUUAAAUAAAAUAUUGUGGCACUUGUUGGUGAAUCUCGGUUCCACCGGCUCGAAGUGUCUAAG